GAUGAACGCUGGCGGCGUGCCUAAUACAUGCAAGUCGAGCGAACGGACGAGAAGCUUGCUUCUCUGAUGUUAGCGGCGGACGGGUGAGUAACACGUGGAUAACCUACCUAUAAGACUGGGAUAACUUCGGGAAACCGGAGCUAAUACCGGAUAAUAUUUUGAACCGCAUGGUUCAAAAGUGAAAGCCGGUCUUGCUGUCACUUAUAGAUGGAUCCGCGCUGCAUUAGCUAGUUGGUAAGGUAACGGCUUACCAAGGCAACGAUGCAUAGCCGACCUGAGAGGGUGGUCGGCCACACUGGAACUGAGACACGGUCCAGACUCCUACGGGAGGCAGCAGUAGGGAAUCUUCCGCAAUGGGCGAAAGCCUGACGGAGCAACGCCGCGUGAGUGAUGAAGGUCUUCGGAUCGUAAAACUCUGUUAUUAGGGAAGAACAUAUGUGUAAGUAACUGUGCACAUCUUGACGGUGCCUAAUCAGAAAGCCACGGCUAACUACGUG
rnacentral:rRNA from 1 species